rnacentral:rRNA from 1 species
GACGAACCGUGCGAACGUUGUUCGGAAUCACUGGGCUUAAAGGGCGCGUAGGCGGGCGAUCAAGUCAGGGGUGAAAUCCUGCGGCUUAACCGUAGAAGAGCCUUUGAUACUGGUUGUCUAGAGGGAGAUAGGGGCAUGUGGAACUUCCGGUGGAGCGGUGAAAUGCGUAGAUAUCGGAAGGAACGCCGGUGGCGAAAGCGACGUGCUGGAUCUCUUCUGACGCUGAGGCGCGAAAGCUAGGGGAGCAAACGGG